GUCCACCCAAAAGAGGAUGUUGAAGAUAGUUUUCUGUUUGGACCCAAGAGCGUCAGGGAACCCUGAGCCCCUGUUGUUCAACACAUCGGCUCUGAGAAGGCAGCGGCACUUGGUCUGCUGGAUCGUCAAGGUGGACCGGAGCAUGGAAAGAUCUUACCACAUAACUCUGGCUGAAUUCUCUGUAUAAACUAGGCUGGCCUUGGACUCAGAGAUGUGCCUGCCUCUGCCCCACAAACGCUGGGACUAAAGGUGUGCACAGCCACACCCUACUGUUCUUAGCCUCUUCAAAGCUGCUCCUUUCUGACCUCUCAAUGUAAAGAUGAGCAGAAAUCAAAGUUAAACAGUCAUAGAGCCCUGUGAGAAAGGACAGGUCCCCUGGUGCCAGACCACCGGCCAGGGACCGAGACUUUCUUUCUUUGUAAGUCUCACAUCUCAGCGUCCUCACCUG
ensembl:processed_transcript Gm15503 predicted gene 15503